rnacentral:rRNA from 1 species
ACACUCCUGCGGGAGGCAGCAGUGGGGAAUAUUGGACAAUGGGCGCAAGCCUGAUCCAGCCAUGCCGCGUGAGUGAUGAAGGCCCUAGGGUUGUAAAGCUCUUUCACCGGUGAAGAUAAUGACGGUAACCGGAGAAGAAGCCCCGGCUAACUUCGUGCCAGCAGCCGCGGUAAUACGAAGGGGGCUAGCGUUGUUCGGAUUUACUGGGCGUAAAGCGCACGUAGGCGGACUAUUAAGUCAGGGGUGAAAUCCCGGGACUCAACCCCGGAACUGCCUUUGAUACUGGUAGUCUUGAGUUCGAGAGAGGUGAGUGGAAUUCCGAGUGUAGAGGUGAAAUUCGUAGAUAUUCGGAGGAACACCAGUGGCGAAGGCGGCUCACUGGCUCGAUACUGACGCUGAGGUGCGAAAGCGUGGGGAGCAAACAGGAUUAGAUACCCGUGUAGUCCCAUGA